rnacentral:rRNA from 1 species
GACCCGGUACGGUCGUCCGCCUUCACGGUGUGUACUGCUGGACCGGGUUCUACCUCUUGGUGAGCCGGCAUGCCCUUCACUGGGUGUGUCGGGGAACCAGGACUUUUACCUUGAGAAAAUUAGAGUGUUCAAAGCAGGCCUACGCCCGAAUACAUUAGCAUGGCAUAAUAAAAUAGGACGUGCGGUUCUAUUUUGUUGGUUUCUAGAGUCGCCGUA